rnacentral:rRNA from 1 species
GCCCAGACUCCUACGGGAGGCAGCAGUGAGGAAUAUUGGUCAAUGGGCGGGAGCCUGAACCAGCCAAGCCGCGUGAGGGAAGAAGGUACAGCGUAUCGUAAACCUCUUUUGUCAGGGAACAAAGGCGGGGACUAGUCCCCGGAUGAGGGUACCUGAAGAAAAAGCAUCGGCUAACUCCGUGCCAGCAGCCGCGGUAAUACGGGGGAUGCAAGCGUUAUCCGGAUUUAUUGGGUUUAAAGGGUGCGUAGGCUGUGAGGUAAGUCAGCGGUGAAAUGCCCCCGCUCAACGGGGUGAAGUGCCAUUGAUACUGCCUUGCUGGAAUGCGGAUGCCGUGGGAGGAAUGUGUGGUGUAGCGGUGAAAUGCAUAGAUAUCACACAGAACACCGAUUGCGAAGGCAUCUCACGAAUCCGCGAUUGACGCUGAUGCACGAAAGCGUGGGUAUCAAACAGGAUUAGAUACCCCAGUA